AAUAGAGGGUGGGGCACUUAUGUUCCUUGAAGCAUAAAAAUGCAAGGAUUUUCCUCUUCUGUUCCUCUUUUUUGCUGUUGAGUUUUGUGCUCUUAAAAUAUCUGCUUUACCAGAAAGAGAGUAGGCCUUCACUCAAAGAAACGGCAGAGAAGUGAAGUCGAAUUACUGGAAAAGGUUUCAUGGCCUGGUCAGCAGGGAAGGCAGCUGGCCAUCACUUCCUGUUCACCCGGGAGGAAGAGGAACGUCUAAGCUGAAACAACCUUAGGUAUAUAUCCAGAAGACCAAAAUUCACAUUAUAACCAAGAUAUUUGUACCAGAAUAUUUAUUGCAGCCCAAUUCAUAAUUGCUAAGUCAUGGAAAAAGCCCAAGUGCCCAUCGACCCACGAAUGGAUUAAUAAAUUGUGGUACAUGUACUAUGGAAUAUUAUGCAGCCUUACAGCAAGAUGGAGACUUUACCUCUUUCAUGUUUACAUGGAUGGAGCUGGAACAUAUUCUUCUUAGUAAAGUAUCUCAAGAAUGGAAGAAAAAGUAUCUAAUGUACUCAGCCCUACUAUGAAACCAAUUUAUAGCUUUCAUGUGAAAGAUAAAGGAAAUAUUUGAAAGGAAGAAAUUUUGAUGACAUUAAAGACAUCCAGGGUGAUACAAUAACAGUUCUGAUGGCCAUUCCAGAAAAAGAGUUCCAAAAUUUCUUUGAAGAGUGAACUAGGGCUGGCAUCAGUGCCUUGCUUUCUAGAAGGAGGACUUUGAAGAUGACCAUAGUUAUAUCCAGCAAUGAGAGACAAAGUCUCACUUUACCGCCCUUGGUAGAGUGCCAUGACGUAACAGGACUCACAGCAACCUCCAGCUCUUGGGCUUCCGUGAUUCUCCUGCCUCAGCCUCCCGAGCAGCUGGGACUACAGGCACCCGUCACAAUGCCCAGCUAUUUUUUUGUUGCAGUUCAGCAGGGGCUGGGUUUGAACCCGCCACCCUCGGUAUAUGGGGCCUGCGCCCUACUCACUGAGCCACAGGCACCACCCAGUUUGUGGCAUUUCUUAAGUACAUACAUUCACAUUGAUGUACAACCAUCACCACCAUCCAUCUCCAGAACAUUUUUGUCUUCCCAAACUGAAACUCUGCCCCCAUUAAACACUAAUUCCCCAUUCCCCCUAAGCUCAGCCCCUGGUAAUCACUGUUCUACUUUCUUUUUUAUGAACUUGAUUCUGCUGGGCACUUCAUAUAAGUGGAA